AUGGUCGCCUCUGUUCCCCCGCCUGCAAAGAGGAAGAAGGGGGAUCCGAAGCCCUCUCCGCUCCUUCUGGGUGCAGGUUGGUCCGCCCUCCCGCCGGACCUCGUCCGCCGGGUCGCCGACUCCCUCCUGGCCAUGUUCAUUGGCCAUCAGAGGUCCCUGGCCAUUGAUGCAGACAAGUUCCCAGGCAUCGAUGCAAACUGUGUCUACUACACCGACAUUCUGGGUUCAUCGGCUCAUAUCUGCAAGUGGAACAUCAAGGAUAGGAAAGUAGAGAGGAUCUCUGAAUCUGCCGAGUUCUUGAAGCAGGACAAGAAGUUUGCCCUCGUCGCUGACCGUCCUUGGACGAUCAUCCACCUUUUUUGCAGCUACACCAUCAACAUCCCGGUUCUCAGCUGGCUUUGCAUCAGAUUCCAUAAGGCGACGGUAGACCUUCAUUCAACUCUGGGGAUCCUGAUGACUGCAAAGUAA
rnacentral:rRNA from 1 species